rnacentral:rRNA from 1 species
ACUCCUGCGGGAGGCAGCAGUGGGGAAUUUUGGACAAUGGGCGAAAGCCUGAUCCAGCAAUGCCGCGUGAGUGAAGAAGGCCUUCGGGUUGUAAAGCUCUUUUGUCAGGGAAGAAACGGUGAGAGCUAAUAUCUUUUGCUAAUGACGGUACCUGAAGAAUAAGCACCGGCUAACUACGUGCCAGCAGCCGCGGUAAUACGUAGGGUGCAAGCGUUAAUCGGAAUUACUGGGCGUAAAGCGUGCGCAGGCGGUUUUGUAAGUCUGAUGUGAAAUCCCCGGGCUCAACCUGGGAAUUGCAUUGGAGACUGCAAGGCUAGAAUCUGGCAGAGGGGGGUAGAAUUCCACGUGUAGCAGUGAAAUGCGUAGAUAUGUGGAGGAACACCGAUGGCGAAGGCAGCCCCCUGGGUCAAGAUUGACGCUCAUGCACGAAAGCGUGGGGAGCAAACAGGAUUAGAAACCCUUGUAGUCCCAUGA